GACGGAAGGUGCAAGCGUUGCUCGGAAUCACUGGGCGUAAAGGGUGCGUAGGCGGCCGUGCAAGUCUGGCGUGAAAGCCCCGGGCUCAGCCCGGGAAGUGCGCUCGAAACUGCGCGGCUCGAGUGCCGGAGGGGAGAGUGGAAUUCCUGGUGUAGCGGUGAAAUGCGUAGAUAUCUGGAGGAACACCGGUGGCGAAGGCGACAUCCUGGACCGGUAUUGACGCUGAGGCGCGAAAGCCAGGGGAGCAAACGGG
rnacentral:rRNA from 1 species